GAUGGAUGGACAGAUGGAUAGAUAUAUCCUAGCGUCUUACCAUCUUACUAGGAGCCUGUUGAUUCAGUUUUCUGGAGAACCCUAAUAAAUAUGUAUUAUCAAGCCCUACCCCAUGAAUAGCCUGUGCAAAUUGUCGACGUGUUUACAUGGCCGUGCUUUUAUCCAAUGCAAUCGAUGUAGAGAAUAGUGAGGUUCUUCUGGGGAAAAGUUGAAGGAAGGAUAGGUAAAUUAGUGAUAUGAUGCAAGCAUUAUAAUGUGGUAUUCAACCUAUUGCUACAGUUAGAUUUAAAUCAGUAUAAAAGCAAAACCUCAGUCAUGAGACAAGUUAGAUGUUAGUAGCUUUAAUAUUAAGUUAAAAAAGUAAAAAUAGUACAUCAUGUUACUUUAAACAGUGCUCCCAGAUUCUAGCCAAGAAUUGCAGAUUUUCGAUAAAACCAUGAAUUUAGAGUACUUGAAGAACUAUUUUUCCCCAUUCUCAAAAACAAGCUGUUUAUUCAAUUAUUGAGUGAUAGGAGAAAGAAAAAAUCAAGUUAACCUCAGUUUGAUUUGCACAAUCCACUGCCAUGUGAUUCUGUUCUUUUCCAUUUCAGUUACUCAGUUCCUCUGUUGAAAUUAUAUUUGUGCUGAAACUGCUAGACCCAGGCUAACAGAUCUGAAUCCAAUCUUUUUGCACAGAGAGAUGGAUCUAAGAGACAACUUUUCUUAUGCGAAGCCAAGUGGAGGGAAGCAGAGCAAAGAGAUGGAUACAGCGUUCUGUGCAUGAAGACCUUUAUCACCCUUCCCAAAUAUGAAUCAAUAAAAUUGCUUUGCUUUGCUUUUUGUUUUACUUAAGUUAGAGUUUGGUUUUUCUCAUGUGUCACUGACCAUUGGAAACAUUACUGAAAUAGGAAUCCUCUAGAAGAAAAUGGCAGUGUCUAUCUAAAUUUCAGAACAAAAACACCAAGCAUUGAUAGAGGCAGGCACGGUAGGGUGAGGGUUGCACAUUGUAUCAUUGCCUAAUGAC
rnacentral:lncRNA from 1 species